AUUCUGGAGGGGACAGAGCUAGCAGAUCAGACCUAACUGGAAAUCUGCUGUGCCAGUAUAUAUUUCAGUGAUGUGAGCCAAUAUAUCCCCUUGAUUGCUCAAAGUAGUUUGGUCGAUAUAUUUUGUUGCUUUAAAUUGAACACAUUCUUAUGUACAGCCUCUGUCUCCUCAUCUCCAACCAAGCAAAAUAGCUUGUUCUCUUUAUGCAGGGACACAUGACAUUUCCCACGUGGCUUUGUGCAUAUCUCCACCUCAAUUUAAAAUGCCUUCCAAUCCCUGCUCAAAGUCAAACAGCUUAAUAAUGGUAGACAUAGAAUUUGACUUAUUCUAAUAAUAGGUCUUUUAAACAAUGCCUUCUUCUCUUCAUUCUUUCCUUCUUAGAGUGGGUAUUCUUUCUGGUGCAUCAUGUAAAGGAAGAUUGAGCCUCAUAUUUCAUAUCUGCCCCUGGCCUAAUGGUUGUUUACAGAAUGAGCUCAAUGAAUAUUGUUAAAUAACACUAACAAAGUUGACCUUAGAAUUGGAGUGCCUGGGUUAGAACCCUGCUGGUACCACCUGCUUACUGCAUGCUUCUGAUGUGAGUUCAGGAGAAGACACUGGCAAGGACAGCAAAGAACAGGAGAACACUCUAGCUUCCCUGAUAGCAUUCAAGGUGCUGUCCAAACUGACUGUGAUGGCACCCUCCAGACAGACAGCGAUGCCACAUGUUCAAGAUGGCAGAAUCACUAUCAGCUUCAAUUCCUGAAUGACUGCAGAGCAAAAUUUCUUACCUGCAACAUACACUCUAUUUUCAGCCUCCCUGGACUGUUACAUAAUGAUACAUAAAAAUAUUUCUUGUGUUGAGGCAUCCCAAAUUUGAUUUAUUUGUCAUCACAGUCUAUCCUAUGAAUAUAUUUCUGAUCCAAAUAAUGCUAGAUUCAUGAGAGUUUAUAGUCCAGAGAUUUUUUUUUUUUUUUUGAGACAGAAUCUGUCUCCCAGGCUGGGGUGCAGUGGCAUAAUCUUAGCUCACUGCAACCUCUGCCUCCCGGGCUCAAGUGAUCCUCCCUCCUUAGCCUCCAUGAGUAGCUGGGACCACAGGUGUGCACCACCACACCCCGCUAAUUAUUUUGUAUUUUUUGCAGAGGGGGGUUUCACCACAUUGCCCAAGCUGGUCUCAAACUCCUAGACUUAAGGGAUCUGCCUGCCUUGGCCUCCCAAAAUGCUGAAAUUACACUUGUUAGCCAUAGUAAUAGUUCCUAGCCAUAGUCCGGAGAUAUUUUAAAAACUUUAGUGUGAGUUAUUUCUCUUUGCUAUAAUUCUCUCAUGCAUUUUGAAAACCUUUUCUGCCAUACAGUGGUUUUUGGGAAGUCCUUUUGGACAGACAUAUCACAGGAUGGAGAAACUAAAAAGAGAGAAUGCAUUAAAGAAAAAAUAGUACUUCGUAUUUCAGAAAUUACAAAAGGGUGUCAUGCCCCACAGCAUGGUGGGCAGUCAUUUGUAACCCACAGAACAUUGAGUUUCUAAAAUUUGAGUGUUUUUAACUUACGAAGGCCAACUUUACUGAUGAAGUGAUUACCCCAAAUAUGUGAAAUCCAUAUUUCAAGUACAAUAGUAGGAAAUUGGAAAUGGGCUCUUGAGUUUCUGCUUUCAAGUGACCCUCAGAAAUUCCUCCAUUCACUGCAGAGGUUCUGUUUCUCCUUGCUUUGUUCUGACUUUACGGCAGAACUAAGCUAAUGAGUUAGUUACUAUGGGUUAUCACUUGGAUUUGAAGAACCAUCAUUUCUAGGCAUUGCUGCUCAGAGUGGGUCUGCCCUCAGGGGAAGCUGUCUAACCAGAGCCUAACCCACUAGGGUUUUAUCAGAACCUAACUGACCUGAGGAAAAGAAAUACUCAACUCCAGCAAGCUCCAGCCUUCCAAAUGGAGGAGGAGAAAACCCAACUCCAGCCCACUUCAGCUAUCUUGUCCCACAUAAAGGGGAAGUGGAAGAAACCUGAGAAGCAGGCAUGAAGUUCACAGUCCAGAGGUAUACAAGCCACGCUGAACAUCUGAAAAUCAAUUCAUGUGAUCCAUCACAUUAGCAGACUCAAGAAAAAAAACCACAUUAUCAUAUCAGUAGAUGUAGAAAAAAAAAAUUAACAAAAUCCAGCACCCAUUCACAAUGAAAAUGCCCAGUAAAUUAGAAAUAGAAGGUAACUUCCUCAAAUUGAUAAGGAAUAUCUCUAAAAACCUACAACUAAAAUCAUACUUAAUGGUAGAAAACUAGAAGCCUUCCCAGUAAGAGUAAGAACAAGUCAAAGAUGUAUGCUCUCACCAAUGCUUUUCAACAUCAUAUUGGAAGUCCUAGCUAGUGCAAUAAGCAAAAAAAAAAAAAAAGUUAUAUUAAUAAGAACAAAAACUGUGUUUGUUUGCAGAUGACAUGAUUUUCUAUGCAAAAAAUUCAAAAUAAUCAACAACAAAAAAAUCCUGAAACUAAUAAAUGAUUAUAGCAAGAUUUCAGGAUAUGAGAUUUAUAUACAAAGGUCAAUUACUUUCAUAUAUACAAGCAAUGAACAAGAGGGAUUUGAAAUUAAAAACGAAACUAUUUACAUUAGUACCCCCAAAAUGAAAUCCUUAUGUAUAAACUUAACAAAAUAUGUACAAGAUACAUAUGAGAAAAA
rnacentral:lncRNA from 1 species